UCCGGUUUGUCACCGGCAGUCUCCCACGAGUCCCCGGCAUUACCCGCUGGCAACAUAGGACAAGGGUUGCGCUCGUUGCGGGACUUAACCCAACAUCUCACGACACGAGCUGACGACAGCCAUGCACCACCUGUACACCAACCACAAGGGAAACCACAUCUCUGCAGCUGUCUGAUGCAUGUCAAGCCCAGGUAAGGUUCUUCGCGUUGCAUCGAAUUAAUCCACAUGCUCCGCCGCUUGUGCGGGCCCCCGUCAAUUCCUUUGAGUUCUAGCCUUGCGGCCGUACUCCCCAGGCGGGGCGCUUAAUGCGUUAGCUGCGGCACGGAGAACGUGGAAGGUUCCCCACACCUAGCGCCCAACGUUUACGGCGUGGACUAC
rnacentral:misc_RNA from 1 species